rnacentral:rRNA from 1 species
AUUGAACGCUGGCGGCAGGCCUAACACAUGCAAGUCGAACGAGUGGCGGACGGGUGAGUAAUGUCUGGGAAACUGCCUGAUGGAGGGGGAUAACUACUGGAAACGGUAGCUAAUACCGCAUACCAUCAGAUGUUCCCAGAUGGGAUUAGCUAGUUGGUGGGGUAACGGCUCCCCAAGGCCAGGAACCCUAGCUGGUCUGAGAGGAUGACCAGCCACACUGGAACGGAGACACGGUCCAGACUCCGACGGGAGGCAGCAGUGGGGAAUUUUGCACAAUGGGCGCAAGCCUGAUGCAGCCAUGCCGCUUGUAUGAAGAAGGCCUUCGGGUGGUAAAGUACUUUCAGCGGGGAGGCGUUACCCGCAUAAGAAGCACCGGCUAAGUACGGGCCAGCAGCCGCGGUAAUUC